AAGUUACAAAGGGCGUAUGGCGGAUGCCUAGGCUUCUGGGAGCGAAGAAGGACGUGGUAAGCUGCGAAAAUCGUCGGGUAUCAGCAAACAUGACAUGAUCCGGCGGACUCCGAAUGGGUAAACCCACCAGGUUGAAGGCCUGGUACCACUUACAUAGUGGGGCAAACGCAGGGAACUGAAACAUCUUAGUACCUGCAGGAAAAGAAAGAAAGUCGAUUCUCUGAGUAGUGGCGAUCGAAAGGGGAACAGCCUAAACCAUUAUUGUUUCGGCAACAAUGGGGUUGCAGGACCUGAAUAGUAAAUAUAUUUACGAAGCGGAAGUUUUCUGGAAAGUAAUACCGUAGAUCGUGAUAGUCGAGUACGUGUAAGUAGAUAUAUUUUAUUGGGUAUCCUAAGUAGGGCGGGACACGAGAAAUCCUGUCUGAAUCCACGGGGACCAUCCCGUAAGGCUAAAUAGAACCGGAAGACCGAUAGUGAACCAGUACUGUGAAGGAAAGGUGAAAAGUACCCCGAACAGGGGGGUGAAACAGAUCCUGAAACCGUACGCCUACAAGCGGUCGGAGCAGACUAAGUCUGUGACGGCGUGCCUUUUGCAUAAUGAGCCUACGAGUUACUUUUGUUAGCGAGGUUAAGUACUUCAGGUACGUAUCCGAAGCGAAAGCGAGUCUUAACAGGGCGUUAUAGUUAGCAGAAGUAUACGCGAAACCCAGUGAUCUACCCUUGUCCAGGUUGAAGUAUCCGUAAAAGGGUAUGGAGGACCGAACCAGUAUCCGUUGAAAAGGGUUUGGAUGAGGUGAGGGUAGGGGUGAAAGGCUAAUCAAACUGGGAGAUAGCUCGUACUCCCCGAAAUGUCUUUUGGGACAGCCUCAAGUUUAAGUUUACCGGAGGUAGAGCUACUGAUAUGAUGCGAGGGCUUCGCCGCCUAUCAAAUCCUGACAAACUCCGAAUGCCGGUAAAUGCUACUUGGGAGUGAGUUACCGGGUGCUAAUGUCCGGUAGCGAGAGGGAAAGAGCCCAGACCAUCGGCUAAGGCCCCCAAACUGUGUUCAGUUGAUCAAACGAGGUGCGGUUGCAGAGACAGCUAGGAUGUUAGCUUGGAAGCAGCUAAUCAUUUAAAGAGUGCGUAACAGCUCACUAGUCGAGCGACUGUGCGUGGAUAAUAAUCGGGCAUCAAACACAGUGCCGAAGCCAUGGACUUCGUAAGGAGUGGUAGGGGAGCAUUCCAUAGAGCGUUGAAGGAUGAUCUGUGAGGAUAUCUGGAGCGUAUGGAAAAGAAAAUGUAGGCAUAAGUAACGAUAAUGCGGGUAAAAAACCCGCACACCGUAAGCCCAAGGUUUCCUGAUCAAUGUUCGUCAGAUCAGGGUUAGUCAGGUCCUAAGGGGUAUCCGAAAGGGGAACCCGAUGGCCAAAUGGUUAAUAUUCCAUUACCUGUAUGAGAUAAGGACGGAGUGACGUAGUAGUGACAUGUACGCCGACUGACGGAAUAGUUGGUUGAAGCACAAAGGUAUAUCGCUGGAUUAAUAGUUUGGUGUUGCUGAAGUGCGACAGUACCGCAAGGCUUCGGCUGCGCGGAUAGUUACAGUAAUCAUACUACCGAGAAAAGCUUCUCAUCCUGUUACGUUUCAUACAGCCUGUACCGUAAACCGACACAGGUGGGCGAGGAGAGUAUCCUCAGGUGCUCGAGAUAAUCAUGGCUAAGGAACUCGGCAAAAUGACCCCGUAACUUCGGGAAAAGGGGCCCCUAGCGAUAGGGCGCAGCGAAAUGGCCCAGGCGACUGUUUAACAAAAACACAUGGCUUUGCAAAAUCGUAAGAUGACGAAUAAGGCCUGACACCUGCCCGGUGCUGGAAGGUUAAGAGGGGGCGUUAGCAUAUGCGAAGCGCUGAAUCGAAGCCCCAGUAAACGGCGGCCGUAACUAUAACGGUCCUAAGGUAGCGAAAUUCCUUGUCGGGUAAGUUCCGACCUGCACGAAUGGUGUAACGAUCUGGGCGCUGUCUCAGCCAUGAUCUCGGUGAAAUUGUAGUAACGGUGAAGAUGCCGUUUUCCCGCAACGGGACGAAAAGACCCCGUGAACCUUUACUAUAGCUUAGCGCUGAUUUUGGAUACGUGAUGUGUAGGAUAGGUGGGAGACUGUGAAUUCGGUACGCCAGUAUUGAAAGAGUCGUCGUUGAAAUACCACCCUUUGCUUAUUUGGGAUCUAACCUUUUCAUUAAGGGACACCGCUUGGUGGGUAGUUUGACUGGGGUGGUCGCCUCCAAAAGGGUAACGGAGGCUUCCCAAGGUGCACUCCGCACGAAUGGUAACCGUGCAAAGAGUAUAUUGGCACAAGUGCGCUUGACUGUGAGACUAACAAGUCGACCAGGUACGAAAGUAGGGCAAAGUGAUCCGGUGGUUCCGCAUGGGUGGGCCAUCGCUCAAAGGAUAAAAGGUACUCCGGGGAUAACAGGCUGAUCGCUCCCAAGAGCUCAAAUCGACGGAGCGGUUUGGCACCUCGAUGUCGGCUCGUCACAUCCUGGGGCUGGAGCAGGUUCCAAGGGUUCGGCUGUUCGCCGAUUAAAGUGGCACGCGAGCUGGGUUCAGAACGUCGUGAGACAGUUCGGUCUCUAUCUGUUGUGGGCGUUGGAAAUUUGCAAGGAGCUGACCUUAGUACGAGAGGACCGGGUUGGACGCACCUCUAGUGUACCGGUUGUGACGCCAGUUGCAUUGCCGGGUAGCUACGUGCGGCACAGAUAAGCGCUGAAAGCAUCUAAGCGCGAAGCUGACCUUAAGAUUAGAUUUCCUUAUCAGGGACGUAGCAGACUACUACGUAGAUAGGCUGCAGGUGUACAGGCAGUAAUGUCAUAGCUGAGCAGUACUAAUAUCCCGAACGCUUUUU
rnacentral:rRNA from 1 species